rnacentral:rRNA from 1 species
GAAAUGCGCAGAUAUCAGGAGGAACACCGGUGGCGAAGGUCGGGUCUCUGGGCCGAUACUGACGCUGAGGAGCGAAAGCGUGGGGAGCGAACAGGAUUAGAUAUCCCUGGUAGUCCACGCCGUAAACGGUGGGCGCUAGGUGUUGGGGACUGUUUCCACGGUUCCUUGUGCCGUAGACUAACGCAUUAAGCGUCCCCGCCUUGGGGAGUUACGGCCGCAACGGCUAAAACUCAAACGGAAUUGACGGGAAGGCCCGACACAAGCGGCGGAGGCAUGUGGCAUUAAUUCGAUGCGAACGCGAUAGAACCUUACCUGGGUUUGACAUCGCACAGGAUCGCCCCUGAGAGGGGGUUUCCCUUGUGGCCUGUGUGCAGGUGGUGCAAUGCAGCUGUCGUCAGCUCGUGUCGGUGAGAUGUUGGGUUAAGUCCCGCAACGAGCGCAACCCCUUGUCCUGUGUUGCCAGCACGUAGAUGGUGGGGACUCGCAGGAGACUGCCGGGGUCAACUCGGAGGAAGGUGGGGAUGACGUCAAGUCAUCAUGCCCCUUAUGCCCAGGGCUUCACACAUGCUACAAUGGCUGGUACAGAGGGUUGCGAUACCGUGAGGUGGAGCGAAUCCUUAAAGCCGGUCUCAGUUCGGAUCGGGGUCUGCAACUCGACCCCGUGAAGUCGGAGUCGCUAGUAAUCGCAGAUCAGCAGUGCUGCGGUGAAUACGUUCCCGGGCCUUGUACACACCGCCCGUCACGUCAUGAAAGUCGGUAACACCCAAUCACAACCCUAAUUGUGUUACCUGGUACGACUGCUAGAUACUCUCAUGAGCUAU